GCCUUUCUUUCCUUCUGCACUGAAGUUAAACAGAUGCGGUUAGUCACUGUGCGAGGGAGCGUGUGGAAAUAUGAGAAAACUGGGCUUGAUGAAGUUGAUUGCUACAAUGACGCAGUCGGCUCUGCCUCAACUCCUUUCUAUCUGAAGGGAGGACGGUAGAGACUACAUAAACACACAAUGAGAUUCCUGCAGCAGAUACCAGAGAUCAUGCACGUAGUUGCAGGGAGACAAACAUUGCCGACAAUUUAACAAAGGAAGA